rnacentral:pre_miRNA from 2 species
CGUCGCCUGCCUGCUGUACCAGGGGUUGAUUCCUUCUUCCUGCGUGUUUUCUGUCCAAAUCCUUUUCUGAUUUGGACAGAAAACACGCAGGUGGCACACAGUAAGCGCUUA